rnacentral:tRNA from 1 species
GCCCUCAUAGUUAAACUGGAUAUAACACAGUCCUCCUAAGACCGAGUUCGGGGUUCGAGUCCCUGUGAGGGCGCCA